AACGAACGCUGGCGGCAGGCUUAACACAUGCAAGUCGAGCGCCCCGCAAGGGGAGCGGCGGACGGGUGAGUAACGCGUGGGAACCUACCUAGAGGUGCGGAAUAACUCAGGGAAACUUGAGCUAAUACCGCAUGAGCCCGAGAGGGGAAAGAUUUAUCGCCUUUGGAUGGGCCCGCGUCAGAUUAGCUAGUUGGUGAGGUAACGGCUCACCAAGGCGACGAUCUGUAGCUGGUCUGAGAGGAUGAUCAGCCACAUUGGGACUGAGACACGGCCCAAACUCCUACGGGAGGCAGCAGUGGGGAAUAUUGGACAAUGGGCGCAAGCCUGAUCCAGCCAUGCCGCGUGAGUGAUGACGGCCUUAGGGUUGUAAAGCUCUCUCGACGGGGACGAUAAUGACGGUACCCGUAGAAGAAGCCCCGGCUAACUUCGUGCCAGCCGCCGCAGUAAGAC
rnacentral:rRNA from 1 species